GUGCUCACUUUUGGUAGCACUUAUACUAAAAUUGGAAGAUUAGCAUGGCCCCUGCUCAAGGAUGGCAUGCAAAUUCAUGAAGCAUUCCAUGUUUUU
rnacentral:snRNA from 1 species